rnacentral:rRNA from 1 species
UAGGGAAUCUUCGGCAAUGGGGGAACCCUGACCGAGCAACGCCGCGUGAGUGAAGAAGGUUUUCGGAUCGUAAAGCUCUGUUGUUAAGGAAGAACGAGUGUGAGAAUGGAAAGUUCAUACUGUGACGGUACUUAACCAGAAAGGGACGGCUAACUACGUGCCAGCAGCCGCGGUAAUACGUAGGUCCCGAGCGUUGUCCGGAUUUAUUGGGCGUAAAGCGAGCGCAGGCGGUUAGAUAAGUCUGAUGUGAAAGCCCCCGGCUCAACCGGGGAGGGUCAUUGGAAACUGGUUGACUUGAGUGCAGAAGAGGAGAGUGGAAUUCCAUGUGUAGCGGUGAAAUGCGUAGAUAUAUGGAGGAACACCAGUGGCGAAGGCGACUCUCUGGUCUGUAACUGACGCUGAGGCUCGAAAGCGUGGGUAGCAAACAGG